rnacentral:rRNA from 1 species
GACGAACGCUGGCGGCGUGCUUAACACAUGCAAGUCGAACGCUGAAGCUCAGCUUUUGUUGGGUGGAUGAGUGGCGAACGGGUGAGUAACACGUGAGUAACCUGCCUCCUUCUUUGGGAUAACGCCCGGAAACGGGUGCUAAUACUGGAUAUUCACUGGUCUUCGCAUGGGGGUUGGUGGAAAGGGUUUUUCUGGUGGGUGAUGGGCUCGCGGCCUAUCAGCUUGUUGGUGGGGUGAUGGCCUACCAAGGCUUUGACGGGUAGCCGGCCUGAGAGGGUGACCGGUCACAUUGGGACUGAGAUACGGCCCAGACUCCUACGGGAGGCAGCAGUGGGGAAUAUUGCACAAUGGGCGCAAGCAUGAUGCAGCGACGCCGCGUGAGGGAUGGAGGCCUUCGGGUUGUGAACCUCUUUCGCUCAUGGUCAAGCCGCAACAAUGGUUGUGGUGAGGGUAGUGGGUAAAGAAGCGCCGGCUAACUACGUG